rnacentral:lncRNA from 1 species
GAUGAAACAUAAUUUUACUUUUCUUAAUUUCUGUAAUUUUAUGUUUCAGGCUGAACUUGAUGAAAUAAUUGGAGCAGAAUGUAUUUACUGUGGAGACAUGAUGAUCAAAUUAAUCGACAAGCCUUUUAUUGAAGCAGAUGAAAUGGACCAAGCAGCGAAUGGUUGGCUAUGAUAGAAAACUCUUGUUAUUCAAGACUUUGCUUAUAAGAAGUUACUGUCAAGAUAAUUCUGUCUAUUGUCAACUGCAAAAGGAUUGUGAAUUUUUCCCUUAGCAUCAAAAAGCCUGGAAAUGAAAAGUUGCUUUAUUGCUUAUAUAUUUUACUAUCAGUCAGCCUUGUUGCCAGCAUUGUUUAAAAAAAAUAUAUCAACUUUAUCGUGUAAUAAAUUGGCUUUAUACCUA